rnacentral:misc_RNA from 1 species
GCCCGAAUGCCAGCAGUGCUUCUCCAGCUUCCAGCUGGUGCGCAUUGAGCCGCACGGGGGUGUGCGGCGCGUAGUGCGAAGCCAGCAUGCCCGGCGCCAGCGGAAGCGCCUCGGCUGAAUUAUGGUCCUCCGGCACGCGCGCGAGCUUUUCGCCCAGGACGCGUUCGAUGUCCUCACGGGGAAGCCCGCCGGGCCGCAGCAGCAGGGGCGUCUCGAAGCAGCCGACGAUGGUAGAUUCGACGCCGACCG